CCUACGGGGGGCAGCAGUGAGGAAUAUUGGUCAAUGGGCGCAAGCCUGAACCAGCCAUCCCGCGUGCAGGAAGACGGCCCUAUGGGUUGUAAACUGCUUUUCCAGGGGACGAAUAGUUUCUACGUGUAGAGACCUGACGGUACCUUGGGAAUAAGCAUCGGCUAACUCCGUGCCAGCAGCCGCGGUAAUACGGAGGAUGCAAGCGUUAUCCGGAUUCAUUGGGUUUAAAGGGUGCGUAGGCGGAUUAAUAAGUCAGCGGUGAAAUCCUACAGCUUAACUGUAGAACUGCCAUUGAUACUGUUAGUCUUGAGUUUGGUUAAGGUAGGCGGAAUGUGUAAUGUAGCGGUGAAAUGCUUAGAUAUUACACAGAACACCAAUUGCGAAGGCAGCUUACUGGACCGACACUGACGCUGAGGCACGAAAGCGUGGGGAUCGAACAGGAUUAGAUACCCCAGUAGUC
rnacentral:rRNA from 1 species